rnacentral:rRNA from 1 species
GUUUACGGACAUACCACCCUGAACAAGCCCGAUCCCAUCUGAUCUCGGAAGCUAAGCAGGGUCAAGCCUGGUUAGUACUUGGAUGGGAGACUACCUAGGAAGACCAGGUGCUGUAGGCA